rnacentral:rRNA from 1 species
UACGUAGGGGGCAAGCGUUGUCCGGAUUUAUUGGGCGUAAAGAGCGUGUAGGCGGCUUUACAGGUCCGUUGUAAAAACUCGAGGCUCAACCUCGAGACGCCGGUGGAAACCGUAAAGCUAGAGUCCGGAAGAGGAGAGUGGAAUUCCUGGUGUAGCGGUGAAAUGCGCAGAUAUCAGGAAGAACACCCGUGGCGAAGGCGGCUCUCUGGGACGGUACUGACGCUGAGGAGCGAAAGCGUGGGGAGCGAACAGG